AUUGAACGCUGGCGGCAUGCUUUACACAUGCAAGUCGAACGGCAGCGCGGGCUUCGGCCUGGCGGCGAGUGGCGAACGGGUGAGUAAUACAUCGGAACGUGCCCAGUAGUGGGGGAUAGCUCGGCGAAAGCCGGAUUAAUACCGCAUACGACCUGAGGGUGAAAGCGGGGGAUCUUCGGACCUCGCGCUAUUGGAGCGGCCGAUGGCAGAUUAGCUAGUUGGUGGGGUAAAGGCCUACCAAGGCGACGAUCUGUAGCUGGUCUGAGAGGACGACCAGCCACACUGGGACUGAGACACGGCCCAGACUCCUACGGGAGGCAGCAGUGGGGAACUUUGGACAAUGGGCGAAAGCCUGAUCCAGCAAUGCCGCGUGUGAUGAAGGCCUUCGGGUUGUAAAGCACUUUUGGCGGGAACGAAAAGGACUGUGCCAAUACCACGGUUCGAUGACGGUACCCGCAGAAUAAGCACCGGCUAACUACGUG
rnacentral:rRNA from 1 species